AGCGGCGGUUGGAGUAACGGCCGCCUGGCAAGAAACUUGGUCUGAAACCACACAGCUGGCGGAGAAACGGCGGCAGCAUCUGGUUUUAGGCCCAGAAAGUCCAAUGUGAUAUCAACAGACCAUAACACAAAAGAGCUAACCCAGCUUUGGAUUUCUCUGCAAGACGAGAAUCCUGUUUUGCAAUUCUUCCUUCAACCCCAGCCAGGUAAAGCCCCACCAGGCCGAACAGCGUGGGCACCAGGGCAAAACACACCAGGGGGAAAACGUCGUUGAUGAUCUUCUGCCACUGCGC